CCGGUGGUCUCCUGGGGCAGUAGCCUGACGGGCGGUGGAGGCGUGUGGGUGCCUGGUGGCCCUCCCGGUCUUCAAAACCGAGGUGCCCGAGG
rnacentral:tRNA from 1 species